GUAGGUAGGUUACAGGUGCCAUGCCGGCGCGCGGCGAUGAACUGUCAUUCAAAGCGAGACCAGCUGUAGGCGAAGUCGGAAGUAAAAAAAAUAUUCAGAAAUGGACUUCAGAGAGUCUUCAUAAAGCUAGGGAGGUGUCAUCCUUCGUUUCACUCAGUCCAAACACUUCAACUUUAUAAUUUCAUCGUGACUGCCUGUUUUACAUUGUUGCCGUCAUGCGAGAGAAGAAGCUGUUCACGCCAGGCCCCCUGGGAGUCAGUCUGAGCACCAAGCAAGCCAUGCUGGUGGACCUGGGCUCCCGGGAUUUGGAGUUCAUGGAGGUGGUGAAGUCGAUCCGGUCGCGACUGGUUGAGUUAGCCGGUGUCUCUUCUGAUGACUACACCUGUGUUCCCGUACAAGGUAGCGGCACAUUUGCCAUAGAGGCAGUUCUGUCUUCUACAAUCCCAAGAAUGAAUGCAAAGGUCCUUCUGCUGGAGAAUGGUGCCUACGGUCGACGCAUGGGCCAGAUCCUCAAGGUGCUGGGCGUGGACUACAAGAUCUUGACCUUCCUGGAGAGCGAGAAGGUAGACGGUCAUUCCGUGGAAGAGGUCUUGCGAGGGCAGCCCUGGACCAAUGUGGCCGUGGUACACUGCGAGACCAGCUCGGGGGUCAUCAACCCCAUCGGAGAGAUCGGACAACUGGUGAAGGAAUACGCGCCAGAUGCCAGCUACUUCGUUGAUGCCAUGAGCAGCUUCGGCGCAGAGGACAUCAACAUCAAAGCCAGCAAUAUUGACUUCCUGGUCAGCUCGGCCAACAAGUGCCUGGAGGGCGUGCCGGGGUUCUCCUACGCCAUCUGCAAAAAGGACAAGCUGGUCAAGUGCAAAGGCUGGUCGAGGAGUCUCUCUCUGGACUUGGUGAGUCAGUGGGAGACACUGGAGCAAACCGGUCAGUUCCGGUUCACUCCGCCCACCCACGCCAUGCUAGCCUUCAAACAGGCACUGACCGAGUUGGAAGAGGAGGGCGGUGUGGCUCAACGAAGAACAAGAUACAAGGAGAACAAUCGCAUCAUCUGUGAAGGAAUGAAGGCUCUUGGCUUCAAGACACUGUUGGAUAACACCCACGAAGGCUUCAUCAUAACAUCAUUCCACUACCCGCAACAUCCAAAUUUCAACUUCAAAGAUUUCUACACAAGACUGCAAGAGAAAGCAGGGGUUUUAGGAGCAGUUUGCAAUGAGAUGCCAUCUUGAAUCUGCAAGCACGAUGACCUAGUGAGUGGCAGACACAGGGAACUCAAGGCCGUGUUCUUGGACCCUGCGGAGUUUCCAAUUUCCACAGGCAGUCAAAUCCAAGCCACGCUGGACUUCUUUUCAGUCACAAGAUAGAGAUGGAUCAGGUGAUCUACCCGGGCAAAGUGACCAAGACAGACUGCUUCCGUAUCGGCAACAUCGGGCACGUCUUUCCUCGGGAC
rnacentral:misc_RNA from 1 species